GCCGUGAUCGUAUAGUGGUUAGUACUCUGCGUUGUGGCCGCAGGAUCCCCGGUUCGAAUCCGGGUCACGGCA
rnacentral:tRNA from 1 species